CAGCACAUCUAAACAGGAAUGUGAACACAAUGGGAAGAAAGAGCUGAAGCCCUUAAUCAGAUAGUCAUGGCAAGAAAGCUGUAUUUAUUUUUUUCUGUGUUGGCCCAGAUUCCUACUGUUGCUAUUUUUGUGUCUGGUUUACCCAUACACUUCACUUUAGUUCCCCAGUCAUCUGGUAAGCUUCUGAACAGAACGUGCAAGUGGUAUUUAUGGCUCUACACAUUCUUAAGGAAGAGUGCAAGUAGGUUUUAGAUUGGUUGCCUUAUAUCAUUCUGGAAUGGCAAGAGUGAGCAAGAUUACAUUUAUGUAACUUUGAGACUGCCAACAGAAGACAGAGUGAAAUUAGACAGAAGAUAUUAAUAGGAACACAGUCCAUAGGGAAUCAUAUAUACUAUAUUGUAUUGAUAAGACCACUUCCUCACAUUAUCGAAGCAGGAACAUGGCCUUCAGGAGGUACUAUACCCAAGAGACAAGCUUUUUGCAUAUUCAAGAGCUAAUAUGGAGAUCCUGUUUUAUCCAGCUCAUGUGGCAUAAAGAUCAUGAAGAACUAUUAAGCAGCUUGCACAACAUCCAAUCCCAAAUUCUAACAGCAACAUUAGUUGCAGCUGGAGAAGGGAGAAAAAUUUAGCAUCAGCUCUAAUUAAUUAAACAAUGUGCAUAUGAAACAUAAUUACAUGAUAUGUAGUAUACCACUUAAAAUGUGUUGCUUUUUAAAUUAUAAAUAUGCACACAAUAAUAUGGCCAAUAUCAAUACCCAAAAC